rnacentral:rRNA from 1 species
ACCUGCCCUUGACUCUGGGAUAACUCCGGGAAACCGGGGCUAAUACCGGAUACGAGACGCGACCGCAUGGUCGGCGUCUGGAAAGUUUUUCGGUCAAGGAUGGACUCGCGGCCUAUCAGCUUGUUGGUGAGGUAAUGGCUCACCAAGGCGUCGACGGGUAGCCGGCCUGAGAGGGCGACCGGCCACACUGGGACUGAGACACGGCCCAGACUCCUACGGGAGGCAGCAGUGGGGAAUAUUGCACAAUGGGCGAAAGCCUGAUGCAGCGACGCCGCGUGAGGGAUGAAGGCCUUCGGGUUGUAAACCUCUUUCAGUAGGGAAGAAGCGAAAGUGACGGUACCUGCAGAAGAAGCGCCGGCUAACUACGUGCCAGCAGCCGCGGUAAUACGUAGGGCGCAAGCGUUGUCCGGAAUUAUUGGGCGUAAAGAGCUYGUAGGCGGUUUGUCGCGUCUGGUGUGAAAACUCAAGGCUCAACCUUGAGCUUGCAUCGGGUACGGGCAGACUAGAGUGUGGUAGGGGUGACUGGAAUUCCUGGUGUAGCGGUGGAAUGCGCAGAUAUCAGGAGGAACACCGAUGGCGAAGGCAGGUCACUGGGCCACUACUGACGCUGAGGAGCGAAAGCAUGGGGAGCGAACAGGAUUAGAUACCCUGGUAGUCCAUGCCGUAAACGUUGGGCACUAGGUGUGGGGCUCAUUCCACGAGUUCCGCGCCGCAGCUAACGCAUUAAGUGCCCCGCCUGGGGAGUACGGCCGCAAGGCUAAAACUCAAAGGAAUUGACGGGGGCCCGCACAAGCGGCGGAGCAUGCGGAUUAAUUCGAUGCAACGCGAAGAACCUUACCAAGGCUUGACAUACMCCGGAAUCAUGCAGAGAUGUGUGCGUCUUCGGACUGGU